CCAUCAUAUGGGCUGCCUGACCUAACCACAGAGGUAGCAGGAAGUAGAGGAAAGAACACAGGACUAUAGAGGGUUCCUUUCUUCCCCCACUAACCAUCAUCUUUGGAGAUUUCUUCAAAGGUCCCACCAGAAGCCACAAGUAAGGAGAGCAGCAACAAUUUGUCUGGUCCAAGUGGCGAUUUUCCUUCCUUCACAGAGCUGCCCAGGGAGCCCUUGAACUCUCCAGAGGCCAUACAUCAUCGUGGCAACCCACCUCCAAAACCGGCUUUUGUCAUUUUCCGUGCUGGGAUGGGAGCCAGCCAAUGCCGCAAAACCACUGAGCUCCGAAGGAGCUGAACCAGCUGGUGAAGUUCCCGGAGCGUUUGAAAGUGCUAUCCUGUUUCACAGAAACCGAAGA